rnacentral:lncRNA from 1 species
CGCCUCCAAAUCAUCUCUUCUUGAUCACGCCACCCUCCUGUUCUACACCAUCAAGCAACCCGAUGCCGCUGCUUGGCGUGCCAUGAUUCGCCGCCACGCGUCUGGAGACAACCCACACCAAUCCCUUCAUCUCUUUAGAAAUUUGCAAUGGAGUGGGAAUGGCAAAAUGCCAUCCUUUACUCCGGACCCCUUCACCUUUGCGUCGGCCG